rnacentral:rRNA from 1 species
UACGAAGGGGGCUAGCGUUGUUCGGAAUCACUGGGCGUAAAGCGUAUGUAGGCGGAUUGCUAAGUCAGGGGUGAAAUCCCGAGGCUCAACCUCGGAACUGCCUUUGAUACUGGCUGUCUUGAGUCCGGGAGAGGUGAGUGGAAUUCCUAGUGUAGAGGUGAAAUUCGUAGAUAUUAGGAAGAACACCAGUGGCGAAGGCGGCUCACUGGCCCGGUACUGACGCUGAAAUACGAAAGCGUGGGGAGCAAACAGG